rnacentral:rRNA from 1 species
AAACUAACAAGGAUUCCCCUAGUAACUGCGAGUGAAGCGGGAAGAGCUCAAAUUUAAAAUCUGGCGGUUCUGCCGUCCGAGUUGUAAUCUGGAGAAGCGUUUUCUGUGCUGGACCGUGCAUAAGUGUCUUGGAAUAGGACGUCAUAGAGGGUGAGAAUCCCGUCUUUGGCACGGACUACCAGUGCUCUGUGAUACGCUCUCAAAGAGUCGAGUUGUUUGGGAAUGCAGCUCAAAAUGGGUGGUAAAUUCCAUCUAAAGCUAAAUAUAGGCGAGAGACCGAUAGCGAACAAGUACCGUGAGGGAAAGAUGAAAAGCACUUUGGAAAGAGAGUUAAACAGUACGUGAAAUUGUUGAAAGGGAAACGCUUGAAGUCAGUCGCGUUGUCCAGGACUCAACCUUAGUUUUCUUUGGUGUAUUUCCUGGUUAACGGGUCAACAUCAAUUUUGAUCGGUGGACAAAGGCAGAGGGAAUGUGGCACCUUCGGGUGUGUUAUAGCCCCUUGUCAUAUACACCGGUUGGGAUUGAGGAUAUCACGCCCUCGGCGGUAGGAUGUUGACAUAAUGGCUUUAAGCGACCCGUCUUGAAACACGGACCAAGGAGUCUAACAUGCCUGCGAGUGUUAGGGUGGUAAACCCUUGCGCGUAAUGAAAGUGAAAGUUGGGACCUCUUUGAGGGCACCGACGCCCGGCCUUGAACUCUUGUGACGGUGCUGCGGUAGAGCAUGUAUGUUGGGACCCGAAAGAUGGUGAACUAUGCCUGAAUAGGGCGAAGCCAGAGGAAACUCUGGUGGAGGCUCGUAGCGAUUCUGACGUGCAAAUCGAUCGUCAAAUUUGGGUAUAGGGGCGAAAGACUAAUCGAACCAUNNUAGUAGCUGGUUCCNGN